GACGAACGCUGGCGGCGUGCUUAACACAUGCAAGUCGAACGGAAAGGCCCUGCUUUUGUGGGGUGCUCGAGUGGCGAACGGGUGAGUAACACGUGAGUAACCUGCCCUUGACUUUGGGAUAACUUCAGGAAACUGGGGCUAAUACCGGAUAGGAGCUCCUGCUGCAUGGUGGGGGUUGGAAAGUUUCGGCGGUUGGGGAUUGACUCGCGGCUUAUCAGCUUGUUGGUUGGGUAGUGGCUUACCAAGGGUUUGACGGGUAGCCGGCAUGAGAGGGUGACCGGAAAAAUGGGGACGGAGAUACGGCCCAGACGCCAAGGGGAGGCAGGAGGGGGGAAUAUUGCACAAUGGGAGGAAGCCUGAUGCAGCAACGCGGCGUGCGGGAUGACGGCCUUCGGGUUGUAAACCGAUUUCGCAUGUGAAGAAGAGUGAGUGACGGUAAUGGGUAAAGAAGCACCGGCUAACUACGUG
rnacentral:rRNA from 1 species